CUAGCUGGUCUGAGAGGAUGACCAGCCACACUGGAACUGAGACACGGUCCAGACUCCUACGGGAGGCAGCAGUGGGGAAUAUUGCACAAUGGGCGCAAGCCUGAUGCAGCCAUGCCGCGUGUAUGAAGAAGGCCUUCGGGUUGUAAAGUACUUUCAGCGGGGAGGAAGGGAGUAAAGUUAAUACCUUUGCUCAUUGACGUUACCCGCAGAAGAAGCACCGGCUAACUCCGUGCCAGCAGCCGCGGUAAUACGGAGGGUGCAAGCGUUAAUCGGAAUUACUGGGCGUAAAGCGCACGCAGGCGGUUUGUUAAGUCAGAUGUGAAAUCCCCGGGCUCAACCUGGGAACUGCAUCUGAUACUGGCAAGCUUGAGUCUCGUAGAGGGGGGUAGAAUUCCAGGUGUAGCGGUGAAAUGCGUAGAGAUCUGGAGGA
rnacentral:rRNA from 1 species